UUUAAUAGUCGAACAGACUAGCUCACUUAGCUACUACACUAAGCAGCGCCUUUAAUUCAACAUCGAGGUCACAAGAUCUUUUAUCGAUUAGGCCUCUCUAAAAGCAUUGUGCUGUUAUCCCUGAGGUAACUACCCUUUAACUUAUUAAAGAUCACAACAGUGCCUAAGUCAUUGGUUUAUAAACUAGAUGUGUUAAUUUACCGCCCCAGUUUGACACAACAGCAACGAAUACUCAAAUUGUUUGGGUGCGGGUUCGCCCCUAAGCCAGCUCUGCAGGGUCUUAUCUUCCCAUUGAAUGGUCUUGAAGUUUUAAUCAAAACCUUAAAUUCUAGAUUUACAGGCUUACAAGUUGUCUUUCAUGAACCCCUUCAUUCUAGACCCCAAUUAAGAGCCAAGUUAUUAUGCUACCUUUGCACAGUUAAGG
rnacentral:rRNA from 1 species